UUUACACAGCCGAUGAUUGAUUGUGUUGUGUGUAAGACACACGAUGGUGAAGAACUGGUGGACUGUGCCAGGGCUUUUCAGGUAUCAACAGUAAUACGAGGAAAAUGUGAUAAAUAUCGUAUUGGACAUUUUGCUGCCUUUCAGAAAUCUGAUGAUAAUAUGGAGAUUGGAUGUAUCGGAUGUUUGUAAAGUUGCAUGUGUCUCAACAGCACAAAUUCUAAACUAUAUUUUAAAACUGUAAAACACUACAUAAGUGAAAAGUGGUUUGCUUACAUGCUGAAUUGAGGCUCAGUGCCUGAGUAUUUCAUAACGUUCUAGGCAAACUCGGUUCAGCUUUUUUGUGACACACAGCAUUUAAUAAAGCACAUUACAGAGCAUUA